AUUGAACGCUGGCGGCAGGCCUAACACAUGCAAGUCGAGCGGAGCGGCGGACGGGCGAGUAAUGCAUAGGAAUCUGCCUGGCCGUGGGGGAUAACGUGCGUAAACGUGCGCUAGUACCGUAUACUGUCAGCUGGGCCUAGGUGGGAUUGGCUAGCUGGUGGGGUAAGGGCCUACCAAGGCGACGAACGGUAACUGGUCUGAGAGGAUGAUCAGCCACACUGGAACUGAGACACGGUCCAGACUCCUACGGGAGGCAGCAGUGGGGAAUAUUGGACAAUGGGCGAAAGCCUGAUGCAGCCAUGCCGCGUGUGUGAAGAAGGUCUUCGGGUUGUAAAGCACUUUAAGUGGGGAGGCGUUACCAACAGAAGAAGCACCGGCUAACUCCGUGCCAGCAGCCGCGGUAAUUC
rnacentral:rRNA from 1 species